UACGUAGGGCGCAAGCGUUGUCCGGAAUUAUUGGGCGUAAAGAGCUCGUAGGCGGCUCGUUGCGUCGGCUGUGAAAACCCGCAGCUCAACUGUGGGCUUGCAGCCGAUACGGGCGGGCUUGGAUUCGGUAGGGGAGACUGGAAUUCCUGGUGUAGCGGUGAAAUGCGCAGAUAUCAGGAGGAACACCGGUGGCGAAGGCGGCAUCCUGGACCAAUAUUGACGCUGAGGAGCGAAAGCCAGGGGAGCAAACGGG
rnacentral:rRNA from 1 species